CUAAAGUCAUUUUUUCAGUUUUUAGAUACAAUGUUGACUCUUCGUUUUAUUUGAAAUUUUUUUACGAUUAAUAAUUUUUUUGUUACUAGAUGAUAAAAUAUAAAUAGUACUUUAUGCGUGACUAAUUUUUUUUAGUUUUUUGUAUAAAUUUUUUAAAUAAGACGAAUGGUCAAACGUUGGACACGGAAAA
rnacentral:pre_miRNA from 1 species